CCUACGGGAGGCAGCAGUGGGGAAUAUUGCACAAUGGGGGAAACCCUGAUGCAGCGACGCCGCGUGAGUGAAGAAGUAUUUCGGUACGUAAAGCUCUAUCAGCAGGGAAGAAUAUGACGGUAUCUGACUAAGAAGCACCGGCUAACUACGUGCCAGCAGCCGCGGUAAUACGUAGGGGGCAAGCGUUAUCCGGAUUUACUGGGCGUAAAGGGAGCGUAGACGGGAGCGUAAGUCUGGAGUGAAAUCCUAUGGCUUAACCAUAGAACUGCUUUGGAAACUGUGCAGCUAGAGUGCAGGAGAGGUAGGCGGAAUUCCUGGUGUAGGGGUAAAAUGCGUAGAGAUUAGGAGGAACACUAGUGGCGAAGGCGACCUACUGGACUAUAACUGACGUUGAGGCACGAAAGCGUGGGGAGCAAACAGGAUUAGAUACCCGGGUAGUC
rnacentral:rRNA from 1 species